CAUUUGCUGCAACACAGGGUGAAUUUUUACUUCUAUUGCCUUGAGGACAUUCAUUGGAAACAUCAUGUUGCACUUGAUGGAGACUCUCCUGAUGAAAAGGCAUCUUUAUGGUAAGAUAAUCUGGCAUAUAAGUAAAUCCCACCGGAUCACAACUUUGUAAGGUGCUGAAGAGGAUGAAGCUCCUUAUGCCUGGAAGACCAGUGUGUUUUUUUACGGAAUGUCUAAAGCUUUAUGACCCAAGAAUACCUUUCUCAAGGACCCAGGAGCUACUUCUUCGAAAUGCAAUCUUCAGGCGAGACAGAACCCCACGUGUAUCUCCAGUUUCUUUGGGAAGGUAUGAGUCUCCCUCCUGUCAGAGCUCUAUGAGAAAGUUUACUUUCUCCUGGGUAAAGCUAGUUAGUAAACACAGAUGACCUUCGUUCUCUG